ensembl:miRNA
UGCACCCUGAGAGCUGGGGCUGGUCUCCUAUGGGCCUUGGGUCUCUAAAUCUGUGGCUGCCGG